rnacentral:tRNA from 3 species
GGAGGUGUGGCCGAGCGGUUGAAGGCACUAGUCUUGAAAACUAGCGAGGAUGAAAGUCCUCCGUGAGUUCGAAUCUCACCGCCUCCGCCA